AGUAAAGUCAGCUAAAUAAGCUUUUGGGCCCAUACCCCAAAGAUGUUGGUUAAAGCCCUUCCCUUACUA
rnacentral:tRNA from 1 species